rnacentral:rRNA from 1 species
AGCGAACGUUAGCGGCGGGCCUAACACAUGCAAGUCGAGCGAGAAAAGGGCUUCGGCUCUUAGUAAAGCGGCGGACGGGUGAGUAAUACGUAGGUAAUCUUCCCUUGAGCGGGGGACAACGAGCCGAAAGGCUCGCUAAUACCGCAUAAGUUUCUCGGGACUCGGGUCCUGGGAAGGAAAGCUAGGCCGCAAGGUCCGGCACUCGAGGAGGAGCCUACGUCGCAUCAGCUAGUUGGUGGGGUAAUGGCCACCAAGGCGAAGACGCGUAGCUGGUCUGAGAGGAUGAUCAGCCACACUGGGACUGAGACACGGCCCAGACUCCUACGGGAGGCAGCAGUGGGGAAUAUUGGACAAUGGGCGCAAGCCUGAUCCAGCCACGCCGCGUGAGUGAUGAAGGCCU